rnacentral:lncRNA from 1 species
AUAGCCAGCUUAUGGGAAACACUGGGCUGGGAAACACUGUUCUUACCCAGCACUCUUCAGCCCAUCCGUAGGUUCUUCCCAGGAAGUCACGAAAGGUUGCACACGUGGUCUUGGCCCAGGAAAGCCAGAAUCAGAGACUGCUUUGGGACCAGUCCCUCCAGCAACCCUGGAGAUGACAGAUAGGGCCUCUUAAUUCUCUUGUUUUCCACGGAAAUUAGAAGGCUGUGAGGCUCUGGUGUUCGCGAUUAGUUGAAUGGAACCACCUACUUAGCCCCAGUUUCUCCUCUCUGAAAAUGUGGCGAUGGAGGGGUAGAUUUCGGAGGCUGAAUAAGUAACUACAGCGACCUCAGGACUGUUUCCGGUCCUACCCUCUGUGACCCAGGGAAAGGAGACAGGGAGAUGAGAAGGAAGGCAGGUGUCCAGGACAUGGCCAGAGGCCUAGAUUGGGAAUCACACCCUCUGUGGGGGUUGAAAUGUCCUUGUAGCCUCUGAAACUCUGGAAACUCCUGAGGUCCCAUUGUCUUUCCCAGCCACAGGGCUGCUUCCAGGUCUUAGUGCUCAGCAAUGUCAUGUUGCCGCUAGUGGGAAGACCUGGUCAGAUGCUAGCACCAUGUUCUCAGAGUUCCCUCUUCCAGAACGAGGAGCCAAAUAAACUAUUCUUUAUAAAUUACCCGCUCACAGAUAGUCCAGGUGUUUCUUUUUGAGGAUCCUGUGGCAGUCUACUGUUCCAGCAUCAGCCCAGCAUGAAAUACAGCAACAACCCAGGUCAGCCACCCUCGCCCCACCAUGGUGCUGUUUGCAUUUUCCUUCAGUGUGGCCUUUGGCUCCUGUUCCAGGAGUGGUGUCUGUUUAACUGACCUAUCGCCAUUUCUCCUAGCUGCUUCUCAUCCAAAAGCAAUCUGGUUGUUUGAGACACAGAUCCCACAAGAGCAAACUUGUGUCACCCACCUGGGGAGCAGGAGAAAGGCUGGGAAGGGAAAGGGUAAAGAAACAGGCAGUGCAGUGCUCACUGGGCCUGAGGGAUACAGCACACUCUUUCUUUGUGUGAAGUUUCAGUGUACUUAGGACAGACAUCUGCAUUUAAAAUAAGCCACUUGGGGGCCAG